GACGAACGCUGGCGGCGUGCUUAACACAUGCAAGUCGAACGGAAAGGCCCUGCUUUUGUGGGGUGCUCGAGUGGCGAACGGGUGAGUAACACGUGAGUAACCUGCCCUUGACUUUGUGAUAACUUCAGGAAACUGGGGCUAAUACCGGAUAGGAGCUCCUGCUGCAUGGUGGGGGUUGGAAAGUUUCGGCGGUUGGGGAUGGACUCGGGGCUUAUCAGCUUGUUGGUGGGGUAGUGGCUUACCAAGGCUUUGACGGGUAGCCGGCCUGAGAGGGUGACCGGCCACAUUGGGACUGAGAUACGGCCCAGACUCCUACGGGAGGCAGCAGUGGGGAAUAUUGCACAAUGGGCGGAAGCCUGAUGCAGCAACGCCGCGUGCGGGAUGACGGCCUUCGGGUUGUAAACCGCUUUCGCCUGUGACGAAGCGUGAGUGACGGUAAUGGGUAAAGAAGCACCGGCUAACUACGUG
rnacentral:rRNA from 1 species